UUGAAGAGCUGAUGAUCCUGGAGAAGAUUCCUGAAGCCAAGACCAAGAGUAUUCAUUGUGUUUUUUGCAACUUUGAGACUCCACUGACUUCACUUAUUUUUCACUCGCUGUCUAUUGAAAAUAGAAACAGGUUCAUGAAUCGAAUUAAUGGCAAAUGUUGCAGGCUAUGUUCUUCAACGAGACAAUGUGCAUUACCGAUAAGCUAGCUCAAAGUAGAGUUCCUACAUCACCAGGUGGGAAGCACAAACAUGACACAGAAACCUGAAGAACAUGAGCAACAACAAAAAGCAAAGGUACUCUGCAGAAAGACAAGGAG